rnacentral:rRNA from 1 species
UACAGAGGUCUCAAGCGUUGUUCGGAUUCAUUGGGCGUAAAGGGUGUGUAGGUGGCGCGCUAAGUCGGGUGUGAAAUUUCGGAGCUUAACUCCGAAACUGCAUUCGAUACUGGCGUGCUUGAGGACUGGAGAGGAGACUGGAAUUCCUGGUGUAGCGGUGAAAUGCGCAGAUAUCAGGAGGAACACCGGUGGCGAAGGCGGGUCUCUGGGCCGAAACUGACGCUGAGGAGCGAAAGCGUGGGGAGCAAACAGG